rnacentral:lncRNA from 1 species
GUCAACUGUACCUUCCUUCAAACUGAAGAAGCUGGCCAUGCUUGGAAUGUGUAAUGUAGGUGGAGACACAGCCUGAGAGAACUAUUCAACCAAAGGCUGGUAUCAGCCAAAUCCCUUCACUGUUCCUGAACGCGAUGUUGACACUACUGAACAAGUCAUUGUUGGUAAAUGACUCUCUGAAAUAGUCUGUUUCUUCACUCUAGAUUCAAAGGAAAAUAUUACAGCAAGAGGAGAAAAAAGGUGAAAUUGAUUUCAUUUAACAACAACCUUCCAGCCUCGGCUCACGUCUCACUCAAAUAACCUUUGUAACUAAUUAUAAUGGAGCUGGAAAAUAAAGCACUUCUGGGCUAAAGGAUUUUAUAAGUCAUUGAAAUUAUCCAGUGCUCAGUAUAGCCAAAAUCCUAUAUGCCAUUAUGUUCUUGUGCCAGAGAGGCUGCCUGCAAGUUAACAUCUAUAGAGCUAUAAGAGGAACAAAAGGCAAACACUGUUAUCAUCAAGCAAUAUAUUAACGUCCAAAGACAUUAUGGUCUGGCAACAGUCAGUCAGCUUCAAGCACUGUCCUGCCAUAUUAAGCUUUCUCUUUCCUUUCUGAUCCUUGAAAGUUUAGAAGUAUGCAUUAAUAUUUGUAAGCUAUUCUGUCUGAUGCAGAUUUCAACUAAAACAGCCUUAUCUGGCCCCCUCUCCAUUUGUCUUAGUUUGGAUGACUUUUUAAUCCUUUGGAGUCAAGAUUUAAAGACUGUUUAAAUUAAAGGGACUUGUCAUUCUUAAAAAUUGAGCUUGGAUUCCUUUCUCUGCCAUUUCCCAGAUGAUCUGUGUCUUGCACCUAUAUGGCUGAGCCUCAGUUUCUGUCAGUGUACUUCCUUUACUCUAAACGUAACAUCCCAAAUAUAUUUUGUUUAAUUCUAUUUUUUUUUUUAAUAACUUUCAGGAUACCAAAUGCUCCAUACACACUGCUGUAGGGAAAAUUUUUUUCUUAUGUUUAGUGACCUUCACCAUCCUGUACAAGGUCUAUCUGUUUACUUACUUGGGAUUUCUUCAAAUCAAUAGCUCCCAACUGCAGUCCAUGCACCAUUAGUGAUUCAUGAAGCACUUGCUGGAGGUCCAUAGAGAACUGCCUAGCAAAGCACAGGAUCCUCUGCAUUUCCAUCUGCUAUCUUACAUUAAAACCAGCUAAAAUUAUAUUAAAUAGUUUCUGAAUGCCACUAUUCACAGAAGGCAAUUGCUGCUCUUACACAAGGCCGGUAUCUAGUUGUGAAAUAUUCCAAGUGUGACUUAGUAGAGGCUAAAGCAGGAGUCGAGGGGUUGAAAUGUGACCCACACCCCAGAACAGUUUAGAAACACUUGCUCUUCACAACAUCUCUGCCUCAGCUGCAAUCCUCUGAUUGGCCUGUAUGGAAUAUCCUUUGGAGUCAAAUCAGUUUUAUGAUUUUUAAACUCUGAUGGCUUUAAUUUGCU